rnacentral:rRNA from 1 species
GACGAACGCUGGCGGCGUGCUUAACACAUGCAAGUCGAACGGAAAGGCCCUGCUUUUGUGGGGUGCUCGAGUGGCGAACGGGUGAGUAACACGUGAGUAACCUGCCCUUGACUUUGGGAUAACUUCAGGAAACUGGGGCUAAUACCGGAUAGGAGCUCCUGCUGCAUGGGGGGGGUUGGAAAGUUUCGGCGGUUGGGGAUGGACUCGCGGCUUAUCAGCUUGUUGGUGGGGUAGUGGCUUACCAAGGCUUUGACGGGUAGCCGGCCUGAGAGGGUGACCGGCCACAUUGGGACUGAGAUACGGCCCAGACGCCUACGUGAGGCAGCAGUGGGGAAUAUUGCGCAAUGGGCGGAAGCCUGAUGCAGCAACGCCGCGUGCGGGAUGACGGCCUUCGGGUUGUAAACCGCUUUCGCCUGUGACGAAGCGUGAGUGACGGUAAUGGGUAAAGAAGCACCGGCUAACUACGUG